GAUGAAGAACGCAGCGAAAUGCGAUAAGUAUUGUGAAUUGCAGAAUUCAGUGAAUCAUCGAGUCUUUGAACGCACAUUGCGCCCCCUGGUAUUCCGGGGGGCAUGCCUGUCCGAGCGUCAUUGCUGCCCUCAAGCACGGCUUGUGUGUUGGGCCCCGUCCUCCGAUCCCGGGGGACGGGCCCGAAAGGCAGCGGCGGCACCGCGUCCGGUCCUCGAGCGUAUGGGGCUUUGUCACCCGCUCUGUAGGCCCGGCCGGCGCUUGCCGAUCAACCCAAAUUUUUAUCCAGGUUGACCUCGGAUCAGGUAGGGAUACCCGCUGAACUUAAGCAUAUCAAUAAGCGGAGGA
rnacentral:misc_RNA from 1 species